rnacentral:lncRNA from 1 species
GGGCAACGCGUUCGCGGCCUUGGACUAGGAGGGGCGGUCUAGCCCGCCGCCAGCGUCGCCGCCAUGGACCUAGGUGGGUUCCCACUUCCCUACUCCGGCCCCUGGGCCGCACCCCCCCAAAGCACCUCCUGGGCAGGCUGAGGCUCUGCACUGCUCCUACGGUGCUCGGGAGGCUGGGGGCUUGAGGAGUUUUGGGGGACCCGCAGUCGCGAGGCCGGCCUCCAUCCUGUAGCCCCACCACAUGACGGUCUCCUAGAGUCCUCCUCCGUCCUUCGUAGUGUCUUCCCAGUGGGAAACCGGGAGCGAAUAUAGCCUUGAUUCUCCUGGAAAUGCUCAGGGCUACUGCACGUGUUUCGGAAAUGCCGGGCUGGGAGGGACGGACGUCCGGAGAGUUCUUCGUUAUUAAAUGACUGCCGAGUUAGUGAACAUGUUUCUUAUUAGGUCGCCUAGUGCAUAAAGCAAAAAUACUGAUACUGUCUUUCUCCCAGAGGCUUGGCGUUUUCUUUGCGACCACGUGCAUAACAGGACCCCAUUCGUUGACUCACGCAAAGCGACCACCCCACCCCCACCCCUCUCUUGUGAGCAGGAGUUGCGCAGCCUGAGAUUUCACUUUUUGAAUCCGAAUUCGAGUGCUGCUUGGUUUGGAGUAUCCUCCUAGGCGAGGUCUGGAAGUAAGGCGGAGUUGAUAGAAAUCUGUGGCCAUCUGCCAACCCUCUCCACCCUGCUAGGUGUGCUCUUUAGAGGGUAAGACUAGGAGGCCGUCCUGGGAAGUACUCCAAGAUUUGCAAAUAAUACGCUGUGGAGAAAUGUCUUUGUCCCUAGCCAGCUCUUUAGUGUGGAAUGGUAGUUUCGUGCCCUGCAGCUGUGAAGAGUGCUGCCAAGGCUUGACUCCCUAGUUGAGACACCUUGCAAAGUUGUGCCUGGGCCUCUAGCUUCCCAUCUCCAAAACAGGAGUUAUAAUCCUCAAGAAGUUAGUUUGACGAUUACAUGAUUUUUAUAGGUGUCAAGCUGGGUGUGGUAGCUUAUGUCUAACUAGCACUCUGGAAGCAGAGGCAGGAGGAUCUCAAAAUUCUAGGCCGACCUGGUCUGUAUAGUUUCAAGCCAGUUCCAGCUAUAUAACAAGAGCCUAUCUCAGAAAAAAAUACAAGUAUGCCACCCAGCACAGUGCCUACCAAAGUAACCAGUCACUUCCUAGCACCAGCUACUGAUUU